AUGUAGGGCAAUCUGUCUUUAUGUAGGAGUAAAUUACUCUUUAAAAGAAAAAGAAUCCUAGAUAGUUUUCCCUUUAAGUCAAGUGUCUCGU
rnacentral:pre_miRNA from 1 species